rnacentral:rRNA from 1 species
AUUGAACGCUGGCGGCAGGCCUAACACAUGCAAGUCGAGCGGAGCGGCGGACGGGGGAGUAAUGCCUAGGAAUCUGCCUGGUAGUGGGGGAUAACGUCCGGAAACGGGCGCUAAUACCGCAUACUAUCAGAUGAGCCUAGGUCGGAUUAUCUAGUUGUGGGGGUAAAGGCCUACCAAGGCGACGAUCCGUCACUGGUCUGAGAGGAGGACCAGUCACACGGGAACUGAGAGACGGGCCAGACACCUACGGGAGGCAGCGGUGGGGAAUAUUGCACAAUGGGCGAAAGCCUGAUCCAGCCAUGGCGCGUGUGUUAAGAAGGUCGUCGGAGUGUAAAGCACUGUAAGUUGGGAGGCGUUACCAACAGAAUAAGCACCGGCUAACUUCGUGCCAGCAGCCGCGGUAAUAC